AGUCUGGUGCCAGCAGCCGCGGUAAUUCCAGCUCCAAUAGCGUAUAUUAAAGUUGCUGCUGUUAAAAAGCUCGUAGUUGGAUUUCUGAUGUAAUGUAUUUGUCCCGCUGUGGUUACACAUGUGAGUGACGAAUUACAUUCAUCUGUCUUGUGUUUUUAUUAGUAGAUUGUGAAAGCAAUUUAUUAAUGAUACACAUCUUUUACUUUGAACAAAUUAGAGUGUUUCAAGCAGGCGUCAAGCCCUGAAUACAUGAGCAUGGAAUAAUCAUCGAGGACUUUUAGUUCUUUGUUGGUUGGUUCUAGAACUAUAGUAAUGAUGGAUAGGGAUAGUUGGGGGUGCUAGUAUUCCAAGGCCAGAGGUGAAAUUCUUGGAUUCUUGGAAGACUCACUUAGGCGAAAGCAUUCACCAAGGAUGUCUUCAUUAAUCAAGAACGAAAGUUGGGGGAUCGGAGACGAUCAGAUACCGUCGUAGUCUCAACCAUAAACUAUGCCGACUAGGGAUGAGAUAAUGUUGAAUUUUCGACUUGUUUCGCACCUCAUGAGAAAUCAAAGUCUUUGGGUUCAUGGGGAAGUAUGGUCGCAAGGCUGAAACCUAAAGGAAUUGACGGAAGGGCACCACCAGGAGUGGAGCCUGCGGCUUAAUUUGACACAACACGGGAAAACUUACCAGGUCCGGACAUAGUGAGGAUUGACAGGUUGAAGACCUUUCUUAAUUCUGUGGGUGGUGGUGCAUGGCCGUUCUUAGUUGGUGUAGUGAUUUGUCUGGUUAAUUCCGUUAACGAACGAGACCUCGACCUGCUAAAUAGUUUGUUAAAUGAUUCGUUAUUUACACAAACUUCUUAGAGGAACUGCUGCCGUUCUAGGCAGAGGAAGUACGAGGCAAUAACAGGUCUGUGAUGCCCUUAGAUGUUCUGGGCCGCACGCGCGCUACACUGAUAGAUUCAUCGAGUAUUUUCAUCCUUAACUGUUAAGUUUUGGGUAAUCUUUGAAUGUCUAUCGUGCUGGGGAUAGAUGAUUGUAAUUUCUCAUCUUCAACGAGGAAUUCCUAGUAAACGCAAGUCAUCAACUUGCAUUGAUUACGUCCCUGCCCUUUGUACACACCGCCCGUCGCUACUACCGAUUGAAUGGAUUAGUGAGCUUCAAGGAUUGAUGUAUGUUUGGUUCUCCAAAUAUAUGUUAAGAAUUGAAUCAAACUUGCUCAUUUAGAGGAAGUAAAAGUCGUAACAAGGUCUCCGUAGGUGAACCUGCGGAGG
rnacentral:rRNA from 1 species